rnacentral:rRNA from 2 species
GGCAACAGCUCAAAUUUGAAAUCUGGCUUUCGGGCCCGAGUUGUAAUUUGUAGAGGAUGAUUUUGAUGCGGUGCCUUCCGAGUUCCCUGGAACGGGACGCCAUAGAGGGUGAGAGCCCCGUCUGGUUGGAUGCCAAAUCUCUGUAAAUCUCCUUCGAC